GGCCUGGUGGUGUAAGGGUUAACACGCCUGCUUGAAGUAGCACGACUAUGAGAGGGUGAUUUACAGCAGAAGAUGUCUUGUUCGAAUCAAGGUCAGGCCG